CUACGUGCCAGCAGCCGCGGUAAUACGUAGGUGGCAAGCGUUGUCCGGAUUUAUUGGGCGUAAAGCGAGCGCAGGCGGUCAAUUAAGUCUGAUGUGAAAGCUCCCGGCUCAACCGGGGAGGGUCAUUGGAAACUGGUUGACUUGAGUGCAGAAGAGGAGAGUGGAAUUCCAUGUGUAGCGGUGAAAUGCGUAGAUAUAUGGAGGAACACCAGUGGCGAAGGCGACUCUCUGGUCUGUAACUGACGCUGAGGCUCGAAAGCGUGGGUAGCAAACAGGAUUAGAUACCCUGGUAGUCCACGCCGUAAACGAUGAGUGCUAAGUGUUGGAGGGUUUCCGCCCUUCAGUGCUGCAGUUAACGCAUUAAGCACUCCGCCUGGGGAGUACGGUCGCAAGAUUAAAACUCAAAGGAAUUGACGGGGACCCGCACAAGCGGUGGAUGAUGUGGAUUAAUUCGAUGCAACGCGAAGAACCUUAC
rnacentral:rRNA from 1 species